GGGUCGUUAGCUCAGUUGGGAGAGCACCUGCCUUACAAGCAGGGGUAACAAGGUAGCCCUAGGGGAACCU
rnacentral:tRNA from 1 species